rnacentral:lncRNA from 1 species
ACACACUGAGAAAAUGCAACUCAUUUCUCACACAUCGUAAGGAGAAGAAGGCCCGGAUCUGUUCUGCCCUCUUUUCUCGUACGCGUCUGAUGCCGACCUUCUUCGAAACCGAGACGAAUCUUUUCCUCCUAAAAACAUGCACACACAUCAGAUCACUACAAUUUCUCACACAAAUUCAAAAUCACCCGCUGCCACAUAUUAUAUUCAUUUUUUAAUUAUGCAAUAAUAUAACCAAGUUGGCUACUCUAGCUGUGAAAUUCACACAUGGUUGAGUUCAUCCCAAAAUGUGGAUAUCACUGUAUAAUGGUCAUACAUACUGUAACUGACUAAGCUCCUAUGCUACUAAUGUGGACAACCACAUCCAAUUCAUACUUCAUAAUUCAUAACUACUCUCACCAAUCCCGCUUUAUCAUGCCACUACAAAACGACAAAAUACUUGCUACCUGGAAAUUAAGAAGCACCGUAACUAUUUAAUUAAUUAAUUAAU